AGAUCACUCGCUUGAGGAUUUUAUGGGACAAUGUGCAUUCAACUCGUAUUUCUUUUGUUGAAUUUGCCAUGGCGGAAAGUGCCAUUGUUGCAUUGAGUUGUAGUGGAUUGGUGCUAGGAACUCAGCCGAUCAGGGUAAGUUCUUCAAAAACACCAGUGAGGUCACGAUUACCCGACCAACAUCG